GAUGAACGCUGGCGGCGUGCCUAAUACAUGCAAGUCGAGCGAACAGACGAGGAGCUUGCUCCUUCGACGUUAGCGGCGGACGGGUGAGUAACACGUAGGUAACCUACCUAUAAGACUGGGAUAACUUCGGGAAACCGGAGCUAAUACCGGAUAUAUUUCGAAACGCAUGGUUCGAUAGUGAAAGAUGGCUUUGCUAUCACUUAUAGAGUGACCUGCGCCGUAUUAGGUAGUUGGUAAGGUAACGGCUUACCAAGGCAACGAUACGUAGCCGACCUGAGAGGGUGAUCGGCCACACUGGAACUGAGACACGGUCCAGACUCCUACGGGAGGCAGCAGUAGGGAAUCUUCCGCAAUGGGCGAAAGCCUGACGGAGCAACGCCGCGUGAGUGAUGAAGGUCUUCGGAUCGUAAAACUCUGUUAUUAGGGAAGAACAAACGUGUAAGUAACUGUGCACGUCUUGACGGUACCUAAUCAGAAAGCCACGGCUAACUACGUG
rnacentral:rRNA from 1 species